rnacentral:rRNA from 1 species
AGAGUUUGAUCCUGGCUCAGGAUGAACGCUAGCUACAGGCUUAACACAUGCAAGUCGAGGGGCAGCAUGUUGGUUGCUUGCAACCAAUGAUGGCGACCGGCGCACGGGUGAGUAACGCGUAUCCAACCUGCCCACCACUUGGGGAUAACCUUGCGAAAGUAAGACUAAUACCCAAUGACGUCUCUAGAAGACAUCUGAAGGAGAUUAAAGAUUUAUCGGUGAUGGAUGGGGAUGCGUCUGAUUAGCUUGUUGGCGGGGUAACGGCCACCAAGGCGACGAUCAGUAGGGGUUCUGAGAGGAAGGUCCCCACAUUGGAACUGAGACACGGUCCAAACUCCUACGGGAGGCA